CCUACGGGCGGCAGCAGUAGGGAAUCUUUCACAAUGGGCGAGAGCCUGAUGGAGCAACGCCGCGUGCAGGAUGAAGGCCUUCGGGUUGUAAACUGCUUUUAUAAGCGGGAAAUAUGAUGGUACCUUAUGACUAAGGAUCGGCUAACUACGUGCCAGCAGCCGCGGUCAUACGUAGGAUCCGAGCAUUAUCCGGAGUGACUGGGUGUAAAGAGUUGCGUAGGUGGCAUAAUAAGUAGCUAGUGAAAUCUGGUGGCUCAACCAUUCAGACUAUUAGCUAAACUGUUAAGCUCGAGACCGUUAGGGGUAACUGGAAUUUCUAGUGUAGGAGUGAAAUCCGUAGAUAUUAGAAGGAACACCAAUAGCGUAGGCAGGUUACUGGGACGGUUCUGACACUAAGGCACGAAAGCGUAGGGAGCAAACGGGAUUAGAUACCCGGGUAGUC
rnacentral:rRNA from 1 species